ACGUACGUACGAGUUAGGUACGUACUACUGGGCUCAGAAUGAACGCUGGCGGCAUGGAUUAGGCAUGCAAGUCGAACGUACUCCCUUCGGGGAGAAAGUGGCGAAAGGGUGAGUAACACGUGAGCAACCUGCCUCCGGAUCCGGAAUAAUCCAGGGAAACUUGGUCUAAAACCGGAUGAAGACAUUGGGCCGCAUGGUCUAAUGUUAAAAUAUUUAUAGUCCGGAGAGGGGCUCGCGGCCCAUUAGCUUGUUGGCGGGGUAAUGGCCCACCAAGGCUACGACGGGUAGGUGGUCUGAGAGGAUGGUCACCCACACUGGGACUGAGACACUGCCCAGACUCCUACGGGAGGCUGCAGUCGAGAAUCUUCCGCAAUGGGCGCAAGCCUGAACCGGAGCGAUGCCGCGUGAGGGAUGAAGGCCUUCGGGUUGUAAACCUCUGUCAUCCGGGACGAAAACAAUGACGGUACCGGAAAAGGAAGCCACGGCUAACCACGUGCCAGCAGCUGC
rnacentral:rRNA from 1 species